GAUGAACGCUAGCUCCAUGCUUAACACAUGCAAGUCGAGGGACCGGCGCACGGGUGAGUAACACGUAUCCAACCUGCCCUUUACUCGGGGAUAGCCUUUCGAAAGAAAGAUUAAUACCCGAUAUAAAGGCUGGGGAUUCGUUCCAUUAGGUUGUUGGUGAGGUAACGGCUCACCAAGCCUUCGAUGGAUAGGGGUUCUGAGAGGAAGGGCCCCCACAUUGGAACUGGGACACGGUCCAAACUCCUACGGGAGGCAGCAGUGAGGAAGAUUGGUCAAUGGGCGGUAGCCUGAACCAGCCAAGUAGCGUGAAGGAUGAAGGCUUAUAGGGCGUAAACUUCUGUUAUAGAAGAAUAUGUAUUAGAUGAAUAAGGAUCGGCUAACUCCGUGCCAGCAGCCGCGGUAAUAC
rnacentral:rRNA from 1 species